rnacentral:rRNA from 1 species
UACGUAGGGGGCAAGCGUUGUCCGGAAUUAUUGGGCGUAAAGAGCGCGUAGGCGGUCCGAUAAGUCGGCUGUGAAAGUCAGGGGCUCAACCCUUGGAAGCCGGCCGAUACUGUCGGACUAGAGUCCGGAAGAGGCGAGUGGAAUUCCCGGUGUAGCGGUGAAAUGCGCAGAUAUCGGGAGGAACACCUAUGGCGAAGGCAGCUCGCUGGGACGUUACUGACGCUGAGACGCGAAAGCGUGGGGAGCAAACAGG